AAGUAAAAGUAGUGCAUUUUGCGGAACCGGUGAGACCGGGCACAGUGAGAGUAUAUAAACUGUUAAAAGUCAUUUGCCGUGUUCCUCUCCUUUUCACAUAACCACCAUUCCGAUCCGAUACAAUGGAGGCGAAGCCUUCCUCACUUCUCUCUGCAUCGAUAAUCUCAAUCGAUAACUUUCCUUGGUGAUGAUGAUGCUGUUGUUACGAUUUCUAAUUUCACUUGCCAUUUGAGGAUCUGACUAAGGAAGAUUUUUCGCACGAUGAAUCAACGAACAAGAGAAAACGUUCCAGGGAUUGGAAUCCAAAUAGAGCAUGGCAGAAGUUGUUUGAGUUGGAUGGCCUAAUCUCACUAAUCAGAUCCAACCAACUGGCUGGAAGAAAUUGUCUGGAUGAAGGAGCAGAGAUAGCCCAAAUCACAUCUUUUAAAGGGUGUAUACUAUUGGCGACAUAAAGGUUUCAGGUACUAUGCUAAGUUGCUCUCUACGUAGUGAAAUUUCCAACGCGAAGUGCCUUCUAGGAAAUUUGACUCGGCAACAAGCCUUUUAGGAAACUUAAGAGGCUUGUGGCCUGUGGGCAUUUAGGAGGUUUGCAGACCCUCAAAAUUUUGUAGUCAAGGGAAUUUUUCCUAUUUUCUUCUAUUAAAUCUUAAAUCUUUUUUGGUUUAAUUUUCAAAUAACUUUUUCAUGAACUUCUACAACUUAUUCUUUCAUUAAUUUUUUAACUUUCAUUAUCUUUAGGAUCUGUAUUUUUCACUCAUCGAAUUACAUCUUCUGAAAUAGAUUGAGCCAUAGAUACCAAUGUGAAGAUUAUUGCAUUACUAAUCAAAAGCAACGUAUAUGUUCUUUAAUGAGAUGUGUAUUUUUUCCAUCAA